rnacentral:rRNA from 1 species
AUUGAAUGCUGGCGGCAUGCUUUACACAUGCAAGUCGAACGGCAGCGCGGGCUUCGGCCUGGCGGCGAGUGGCGAACGGGUGAGUAAUACAUCGGAACGUGCCCAGUAGUGGGGGAUAGCUCGGCGAAAGCCGGAUUAAUACCGCAUACGACCUGAGGGUGAAAGCGGGGGAUCUUCGGACCUCGCGCUAUUGGAGCGGCCGAUGGCGGAUUAGCUAGUUGGUGGGGUAAAGGCCUACCAAGGCGACGAUCUGUAGCUGGUCUGAGAGGACGACCAGCCACACUGGGACUGAGACACGGCCCAGACUCCUACGGGAGGCAGCAGUGGGGAAUUUUGGACAAUGGGCGAAAGCCUGAUCCAGCAAUGCCGCGUGUGUGAUGAAGGCCUUCGGGUUGUAAAGCACUUUUGGCGGGAACGAAAAGGACUGUGCCAAUACCACGGUUCGAUGACGGCACCCGCAGAAUAAGCACCGGCUAACUACGUG